AUUGAACGCUAGCGGUAUGCUUAACACAUGCAAGUCGAACGGCAGCGAUGGGAAGCUUGCUUCCCAGGCGGCGAGUGGCGGACGGGUGAGUAACGCGUAGGAAUCUACCUAGUAGCGGGGGACAACUCGGAGAAAUCCGGGCUAAUACCGCAUAUACUCUACGGAGGAAAGAGGGCCUCUUCUUGAAAGCUCUCACUAUUAGAUGAGCCUGCGUCAGAUUAGCUUGUUGGUGGGGUAAAGGCCUACCAAGGCGACGAUCCGUAGCUGGUUUGAGAGGAUGAUCAGCCACACUGGGACUGAGAUACGGCCCAG
rnacentral:rRNA from 1 species